rnacentral:rRNA from 1 species
AGUGAACGCUGGCGGCGUGCCUAAUACAUGCAAGUCGAACGGAGUGGCGCACGGGUGAGUAAUGUAUAGCUAAUCCGCCCUACACUAGAGGACAACAGUUGGAAAGGACUGCUAAUACUCUAGAGUGUAGGAUGAGGCUAUAUUGUAUCAGCUAGUUGGGGAGGGAAGGGCUCCCCAAGGCUAUGACGUAUAACUGGUCUGAGAGGAUGAUCAGUCGACCUGUACGUGAGACACGGUCCGGACUCCUUCGGGAGUCAGCAAUAGGGUAUAUUGCUCAAUGGGCGUGACCCUGAAGCGUCAUCGCCGCGUAGAGGAUGUUACUUUUCGGGGCGUAAACUCCUUUUGAUAGGUAUGCGUUACCUAACGAAUAAGCACCGGCUAACUCCGUGCCAGCAGCCGCGGUAAUUC